GGUUUGAUUCUGGCCUAGAUUGAACGCUGGCGGAUGCUUUACAUGCAAGUCGAACGGCAGCACGGACUUCGGUCUGGUGAAGAGUGGCGAAACGGGUGGUAAUGUACCGGAACGUGCCUAGUAGCGGGGGGAUAACUACGCCAGAAAGCGUAGCUAAUACCGCAUACGCCCUUCGGGGGAAAGCGGGGGACCUUCGGGCCUCGCACUAUUAGAGCGGCCGAUAUCGGAUUAGCUAGUUGGUGGGGUAACGGCUCACCAAGGCGACGAUCCGUAGCUGGUUUGAGAGGACGACCACACUGGGACCGGCAUACGCCCAGACUCUACGGGAGGCAGCAGGGGGAAUUUUGGACAAUGGGGAAACCCUGAUCCGCUAUCCCGCGUGUGCGAUGGCGAAGGCCUCGGGUUGUAAAGCACUUUUUGGCAGGAAAGAAACGGCACGUGGGAUAAUACCCCGUGCAACUGACGGUACCCGCAGAAUAAGCACCGGCUAACUACGUGCCAGCAGCCGCGGUAAUACGUAGGGUGCAAGCGUUAAUCGGAAUUACUGGGCGUAAAGUGCAGGCGGUUCGGAAAGAAAGAUGUGAAAUCCCAGAGCUUAACUUUGGAACUGCAUUUAACUACCGAGCUAGAGUGUGUCAGAGGGAGGUGGACCCGCGUGUAGCAGUGAAAUGCGUAGAUAUGCGGAGGAACACCGAUGGCGAAGGCAGCCUCCUGGGAUAACACUGACGCUCAUGCACGAAAGUGGAGCAAACAGGAUUUAUUACUCCGGUAGUCCACGCCCUCUAAACGAUGUCAACUAGCUGUUGGGGCCUUCGGGCCUUGGUAGUGCAGCUAACGCGUGAAGUUGACCGCCUGGGGAGAGCACGGUCGCAAGAUUAAAACUCAAAGGACUGAUUGGGACCUACAUGGUGGAUGAUGUGGAUUAAUUCGAUGCAACGCCAGCACCUUACCUACCCUUGGAGGUGUUCGAAAUCCGAAGAGAUUUGGGAGUGCUCGUAAGAGAACCGGAAACAGGUGCUGCAUGGCUGUCGCCAGUUCGUGUCGGGAGAUGUUGGGUUAAGUCCCGCAACGAGCGCAACCCUUAUUGCCAGUUGCUACGAAAGGGCACCUUAUCGAGACUGCCGGUGACAAACCGGAGGAAGGUGGGGAUGACGUCAAGUCCCUGCGGUCUUUAUGGGUAGGGCUUCACAAUGGCACAAUGGCCGGGACAGAGGGUCGCCAACCCGCGAGGGGGAGCCAAUCCCAGAAACCCGAUCAGAGUCCGGAUCGCAGCCCAGCAACUCGACUGCAGCCGGAAUCGCUAGUAAUCGCGGAUCAGCAUGUCGCGGAAGAUGUUCCCGGUCUUGUACACACACCGCCCGUCACACUAUGGGAGUGGGUUUUACCAGAAGUAGUUAGCCUAACCGUAAGGAGUGGCGAUUACUAUGUAGGAUCUGCGAUCAAAGGGGAAGUCAACACAGC
rnacentral:rRNA from 1 species